GGCAGAGCAGCCUGCAGGGCCAGGAAGGCCUGGCGCAGUGUCCUCACCCGGCUCCGCUCCCGCGCAGCGUUCUCAGGACUGGCCUCAGUCUGCACAGAGGACCCCAGGUGAGAAAACUGACGUAUCAGGAGGCAAAAUAACGUGCCCAGGAUCGAACAUCCAAUGCUGUCUCUGAAGGAAAGGACCAGGAUGUUUGCGGCGUUGCAUCAUAUCCUUCAUACAGCUGGUUAGGAGGAGGAAGACUGGAGGAAUAGAGAGCUUCCCACAGGAGCCCCUGCUGCCCUCAAGUUACAAACUCUGCCUGCAGCAGAACCAUCUUGCGUGUCCCUUGUCCCCCAAUCCUGAUCCUAUUUUCUGAAACAACUUUUUAUACAAGAUAGGAACUAACUCUUCUUUGAAAUUCUGGUAAAACUUACUUGUAAAACCUCUGGGCCUGGGGCCGGCCCGGUGAUGCAGCAGUUAAGUGCACAUGUUCCA